GUGCUGGUGUAGCUCAGUGGUUACUUCGAUUGCACUUCUCUCCUGCAGAGAUCGCCAACCUCUAUCCCUUUGUGGAAUCGAACCUCGGGCGCUGUCCAGUGCUUUU
rnacentral:vault_RNA from 1 species